UACGGGGGGGGCAAGCGUUGUUCGGAAUUACUGGGCGUAAAGGGCUCGUAGGCGGCCAACUAAGUCAGACGUGAAAUCCCCAGGCUCAACCUGGGAACUGCGUCCGAUACUGGAUGGCUUGAAUCCGGGAGAGGGAUGCAGAAUUCCAGGUGUAGCGGUGAAAUGCGUAGAUAUCUGGAGGAAUACCGGUGGCGAAGGCGGCAUCCUGGACCGGCAUUGACGCUGAGGAGCGAAAGCUAGGGGAGCAAACGGG
rnacentral:rRNA from 1 species